AGAAUUCUCAUUUAAAUACUCUUCAUUGUUAGUCUUUGCUAUAUUUUUAUUAUUGUGCUUUGAAGAAAUCAUGGAAGGAUCAUCAAACUCUAACAUAAUGGAUAAUCAAAGGUUGCCACAACAUGAAAAUGUGACUCAUGCCUCUUUACCUGCUAUUGAAUAUGAAGUUCCAAAUCCUCAUGGAGAUGAUCUAACUCUAGAUCGUGAGACUAGAAGACGUUUACUAAAUCGAGGAUACUCCAAAACCCAUCGGGAGAAAAAGAAAUGUCAUAUCAAAAAUCUGGAAGACAAAUAAAAUACAGUGUCUGUAAUCUCAUGAUAUUUCAUCCAUAUUUGUUUAUUUUUCAAAAUUUUAAAUUUUCUAUUAUGCUAAUAACUCUUUAACUAUGCAGGAUAUAAUAUGUAAAGAAGUUUCAAUGUCGAAGGUUUACACAAACUUUAAUUCUGUUAUUAAGUCUAAAAUUAACACUUUGGAAUAAACAUUAUCUCAAGUCAAUUCAAAUGGGGAGGUUCUAAAUGUUGAGAUGGAUACGAUGAUCAAUAAAUUGGAGCAGAUGAAAUUUUCCAAGGAGGAAAAUGAAGUAGAGUUCAUCAGGAAAAAGAAUGGAGGCAAAUGGAAUGCAACUUAAUGUAGCAGUUUGUAUAUAAAUAUUAUGAUAUAAAUAUAAAUAAGGAUUAAGUUAUUAUGUACAUUAUUAAAUAAUAUAAUAAAAGUCUCUAUCAUUAUGAAUA